rnacentral:rRNA from 1 species
CACGGGGGAGCAAGGCGUUGUUCGGAAUCACUGGGCGUAAAGGGCGUGUAGGCGGUCAGGUAAGUGAGAUGUGAAAUGCCCCGGCUCACCCGGGGACCGGCAUCUCAUACUGCUUGGCUUGAGUACGGGAGAGGAUGUGGGAAUUCCUGGUGUAGCGGUGAAAUGCGUAGAUAUCAGGAGGAACACCGGUGGCGAAGGCGCACAUCUGGCCCGAUACUGACGCUGAGGCGCGAAAGCUAGGGGAGCAAACGGG